GUAAAUAUAGAUUAACUAAAUCACUGGUCUGUGAUCCCAGAGACAGGGGUUAAACUCCCCUUAUUCACC